GAUGAACGCUGGCGGCGUGCCUAAUACAUGCAAGUCGAGCGAACAGACGAGGAGCUUGCUCCUUUGACGUUAGCGGCGGACGGGUGAGUAACACGUGGGUAACCUACCUAUAAGACUGGGAUAACUUCGGGAAACCGGAGCUAAUACCGGAUAAUAUUUCGAACCGCAUGGUUCGAUAGUGAAAGAUGGCUCUGCUAUCACUUAUAGAUGGACCUGCGCCGUAUUAGCUAGUUGGUAAGGUAACGGCUUACCAAGGCAACGAUACGUAGCCGACCUGAGAGGGUGAUCGGCCACACUGGAACUGAGACACGGUCCAGACUCCUACGGGAGGCAGCAGUAGGGAAUCUUCCGCAAUGGGCGAAAGCCUGACGGAGCAACGCCGCGUGAGUGAUGAAGGUCUGCGGAUCGUAAAACUCUGUUAUUAGGGAAGAACAAACGUGUAAGUAACUGUGCACGUCUUGACGGUACCUAAGCAGAAAGCCACGGCUAACUACGU
rnacentral:rRNA from 1 species